CUGCUGUCAUAGCUGUAGCAAGAGCCUCCUACUUGGAAGCUAUUGGGGAAUGCUCCAGAGGGAAGUGAGCUGCUCCUCCUCCCUCCCCUGAAUCCAGAAGAUCCUUCUCAUCCCUGCUAGUCCCAAAGGCAAGAAUCUUCUGGCUGUUCUUUAAUCCUGACCCCUUGCUUUGCAGAGGCCAGAUCUGAAGCCAAAUCACUGAGGUGACAGUGUAUAUAAUGACUUAUAUUAUAAUGCCUUUAUAUUAGUUACCACAUUUUAAAACUCUGUCACAAUUUCUUGACUAUUAGCAACAUUGUCAGCUUUUGAUGGAACUUGUUUUUUUUUUUUUUUUGUUUUUUUUGUUUUUCUCUCCUUAGGGAUAAAGGGGACUGCAGCUUCUGAUGGUUAUUGCAAGUGACUUAACACAUUUAUGAAGACAAUUGAAAAGAGGAUUAUGGGUUGAAAGAGGAAAAGUGGAAGUAUGUCAAAGAAGAAAGACUCCAUUAUAUGAUGCAUGGAUCAGAGGACGUUAUGGAUUCAUACAUGAUUGCUGUGUCCCAGGAGAACUCCAAAGUGACUUCUUUCUCCGUAAGACCUACUCAUGAAACAACAAUGUGAGACAGAGAAUGGAUAAUUCAAUAUUUUUCUGUGCAUCUCUUUUCUUGUCCUUCAAAAGUAUCUUGAAAAAUAUUAGGAUUUUU
rnacentral:lncRNA from 1 species